rnacentral:rRNA from 1 species
CACGCCGUAAACAUUGGAUGCUAAAUAUUGGAAGUAUCGACCCUUUCAGUGUUGUUAAUUUAAGGUAACCCGUUAAGCAUCCCGCCUGGGGAGUACGAGCGCAAGCUUAAAACUCAAAGGAAUAGACGGGGACCCGCACAAGCGGUGGAGCAUGUGGUUUAAUUCGACGCUAAGCGAAGAACCUCACCAAGGUUUGACAUCUAGCUGCAUGUCCUGGAAACAGGAAGGCCUUCGAGGGUGCUAGACAGAUGC